AGUCCCGAGGUGUUACAUGCCGGAUUGCAAAUCCGGAGUUGUAGGUUAUUCCCUACCGGGGCUU
rnacentral:tRNA from 2 species